UCCUGGCUCAGAUUGAACGCUGGCGGCAUGCCUUACACAUGCAAGUCGAACGGCAGCACGGGAGCAAUCCUGGUGGCGAGUGGCGAACGGGUGAGUAAUACAUCGGAACGUGUCCUGUAGUGGGGGAUAGCCCGGCGAAAGCCGGAUUAAUACCGCAUACGCUCUACGGAGGAAAGGGGGGGAUCUUAGGACCUCUCGCUACAGGGGCGGCCGAUGGCAGAUUAGCUAGUUGGUGGGGUAAAGGCCUACCAAGGCGACGAUCUGUAGCUGGUCUGAGAGGACGACCAGCCACACUGGGACUGAGACACGGCCCAGACUCCUACGGGAGGCAGCAGUGGGGAAUUUUGGACAAUGGGGGAAACCCUGAUCCAGCAAUGCCGCGUGUGUGAAGAAGGCCUUCGGGUUGUAAAGCACUUUUGUCCGGAAAGAAAACCUCCCGGUUAAUACCUGGGGGGGAUGACGGUACCGGAAGAA
rnacentral:rRNA from 1 species